rnacentral:rRNA from 1 species
CUACGGGGCGCUGCAGUGGGGAAUAUUGCACAAUGGGGGGAACCCUGAUGCAGCAACGCCGCGUGGAGGAUGACGCAUUUCGGUGUGUAAACUCCUUUUAUAUGUCAAGAAAAUGACGGUAGCAUAUGAAUAAGCACCGGCUAACUCCGUGCCAGCAGCCGCGGUAAUACGGAGGGUGCAAGCGUUACUCGGAAUCACUGGGCGUAAAGGACGCGUAGGCGGGUUGGAAAGUCAGGUGUGAAAUCCUACAGCUUAACUGUAGAACUGCACUUGAAACUUCUAAUCUAGAGGAUGGGAGGGGGAGAUGGAAUUAGUGGUGUAGGGGUAAAAUCCGUAGAUAUCACUAGGAAUACCGAAAGCGAAGGCGAUCUCCUGGAACAUUACUGACGCUAAGGCGUGAAAGCGUGGGGAGCAAACAGGAUUAGAUACCCUCGUAGUC